UUAAGUUCAGCGGGUCUUCCUACCUGAUCCGAGGUCAACCUUGGGUAAAUAAGGCGUUUAACGGCCGGAACCCGCAGCACUCCCAGAGCGAGAUGUAACUACUACGCUCGGUGUGACUAGCGAGCCCGCCACUGGUUCAGGGCCUGCGGGCAGCCGCAGGACCCCAACACAAGCAGGGCUUGAUGGUUGAAAUGACGCUC
rnacentral:misc_RNA from 1 species